UACGUAGGUGGCAAGCGAUACUCGGAAUCACUAGGCGUAAAGCGCAGGUAGGCGGUUUGGUAAGUCUUUUGUGAAAGCCCUCAGCUCAACUGAGGAAGUGCGCCCGAAACUGCAGAGCUUGAGUGCCGGAGAGGGUGGCGGAAUUCCCCAAGUAGAGGUGAAAUUCGUAGAUAUGGGGAGGAACACCGGUCGGCGAAGGCGGCCGAGCC
rnacentral:rRNA from 1 species